rnacentral:rRNA from 1 species
UACGUAGGUGGCGAGCGUUGUCCGGAAUUACUGGGUGUAAAGGGCGUGUAGGCGGGAUGUUAAGUCAGAUGUGAAAUUCCCAGGCUCAACUUGGGCGCUGCAUCUGAAACUAAUGUUCUUGAGUGCUGGAGAGGAAAGCGGAAUUCCUAGUGUAGCGGUGAAAUGCGUAGAUAUUAGGAGGAACACCAGUGGCGAAGGCGGCUUUCUGGACAGUAACUGACGCUGAGGCGAGAAAGCGUGGGGAGCAAACAGG